ACUCCUACUGGAGGCAGCAGUGGGGAAUAUUGCACAAUGGGGGAAACCCUGAUGCAGCCAUGCCGCGUGUGUGAAGAAGGCCUUCGGGUUGUAAAGCACUUUCAGUAGGGAGGAAGGUAGUGUAGUUAACACCUGCGCACUAUUUGACGUUACCUACAGAAGAAGCACCGGCUAACUCCGUGCCAGCAGCCGCGGUAAUACGGAGGGUGCGAGCGUUAAUCGGAAUUACUGGGCGUAAAGCGCAUGCAGGCGGCCUGUU
rnacentral:rRNA from 1 species